ACGGGUGAGUAAUACAUCGGAACAUGUCCUGUAGUGGGGGAUAGCCCGGCGAAAGCCGGAUUAAUACCGCAUACGAUCUAGGGAUGAAAGCGGGGGACCUUCGGGCCUCGCGCUAUAGGGUUGGCCGAUGGCUGAUUAGCUAGUUGGUGGGGUAAAGGCCUACCAAGGCGACGAUCAGUAGCUGGUCUGAGAGGACGACCAGCCACACUGGGACUGAGACACGGCCCAGACUCCUACGGGAGGCAGCAGUGGGGAAUUUUGGACAAUGGGCGAAAGCCUGAUCCAGCAAUGCCGCGUGUGUGAAGAAGGCCUUCGGGUUGUAAAGCACUUUUGUCCGGAAAGAAAUCCUUGGCUCUAAUACAGUCGGGGGAUGACGGUACCGGAAGAAUAAGCACCGGCUAACUACGUGCCAGCAGCCGCGGUAAUACGUAGGGUGCAAGCGUUAAUCGGAAUUACUGGGCGUAAAGCGUGCGCAGGCGGUUUGCUAAGACCGAUGUGAAAUCCCCGGGCUCAACCUGGGAACUGCAUUGGUGACUGGCAGGCUAGAGUAUGGCAGAGGGGGGUAGAAUUCCACGU
rnacentral:rRNA from 1 species